GUGCUUCCUUCGGCAGCACAUAUACUAAAAUUGGAACAAUACAAAGAUUAGCACGUCCCCUGUGCAAGGAUAACACCCAAAUUCGUGAAGUGUUCCAUAUUUUU
ensembl:snRNA U6 U6 spliceosomal RNA